CAGGAAAUAACUAAGUGGGAAAGGUCUAGGUUUAACAUAGUUCUCUCUACGUCUAUGUUGUUGUUUUAAAAGGCACUGUGUCUUAGUGAAACGCUACUGCUGACAUCCGUGAUGCAUACUGAAUACAGUUCUGACAUUCAUGAUGUGUACUGAAUUCUGACAUUCAUAAUGCAUACUGAAUACAGUUCAGGACCUUACAGAGGGUAAACCACCAACUUAGGUUUGAAGGCCCGAUCUAGCUUUUUGUUGGAAUAAAUUUGUUGGUAUCAAAAGGGACUUUGGAAAAUACAUCUUGAGGGCCUCACAGAUAGCCAAGGAUCAAUGUGACACCACCAUGUUCAUCUGUGGGAAGAGAGGGUUGGGAAUCUGCAUGAAAAAAAAAAAAAAAAAGAAAGAAAGAAAGAAAGAAAGAAAGAAAGAUAGGACUAGAGAUAUGGUUCAGCAGUUAAAAGUUCUUGCCGCUUUCCCAAAGGACCCAAGCUUCUUUCUUAGCAUCCAUGUUGGGCAGCUUGCAACUGUGGGUACUGGAGUUCCAAAGGGAUCUGAUUCCCUUGCUGGCCUAGUGGGCACCUUUAAACACACAUGGCACACACAGGCACAGGCACGUGCACACAUGUAUGUAAGUAAAUAAAUAGGUAAAUUAC
rnacentral:lncRNA from 1 species